AGCGAACGCUGGCGACAGGCAACACACAUGCAAGUAGAGCGCUCUUUCGAGUGAGCGGCGGACGGGUUAGUAACGCGUGGGAACGUACCCAUUUUCUACGGAAUAGCCGUUGGAAACGAAGAGUAAUACCGUAUACGCCCUUCGGGGGAAAGAUUUAUCGGAGAAGGAUGGGCCCGCGUUAGAUUAGAUAGUUGGUGGGGUAACGGCCUACCAAGUCUACGAUCCAUAGCUGGUUUUAGAGGAUGAUCAGCCACACUGGGACUGAGACACGGCCCAGACUCCUACGGGAGGCAGCAGUGGGGAAUCUUAGACAAUGGGCGCAAGCCUGAUCCAGCCAUGCCGCGUGAGUGAUGAAGGCCUUAGGGUCGUAAAGCUCUUUCGCCUGUGAUGAUAAUGACAGUAGCAGGAGAAGAAGCCCCGGCUAACUCCGUGCCAGCAGCCGCGGUAAUACGGAGGGGGUUAGCGUUGUUCGGAAUUACUGGGCGUAAAGCGCACGUAGGCGGAUUGGAAAGUUGGGGGUGAAAUCCCGGGGCUCAACCCCGGAACUGCCUCCAAAACUAUCAGUCUAGAGUUCGAGAGAGGUGAGUGGAAUUCCAAGUGUAGAGGUGAAAUUCGUAGAUAUUUGGAGGAACACCAGUGGCGAAGGCGGCUCACUGGCUCGAUACUGACGCUGA
rnacentral:rRNA from 1 species